rnacentral:rRNA from 1 species
CCAGACUCCUACGGGAGGCAGCAGUGAGGAAUAUUGGUCAAUGGGCGAGAGCCUGAACCAGCCAAGUCGCGUGAAGGACGACGGUUCUAUGGAUUGUAAACUUCUUUUGUAGAGGAAUAAUGGCAGCUACGCGUAGCUGAGAUGCAUGUACUCUACGAAUAAGUAUCGGCUAACUCCGUGCCAGCAGCCGCGGUAAUACGGAGGAUACGAGCGUUAUCCGGAAUUAUUGGGUUUAAAGGGUGCGUAGGUGGCGUAUUAAGUCAGUGGUGAAAAGCUGCAGCUCAACUGUAGUCUUGCCGUUGAAACUGAUAUGCUAGAGAGGAGACGAGGUAUGCGGAAUGUGUGGUGUAGCGGUGAAAUGCAUAGAUAUCACACAGAACGCCGAUUGCGAAGGCAGCGUACCAGGCUCCGUCUGACACUGAAGCACGAAAGCGUGGGGAUCAAACAGGAUUAGAUACCCUGGUAGCCCACGCAGUAAACGAUGAAUACUAGAUUUUUGCGAUAUAGUGUAAGAGUCUAAGCGAAAGCGAUAAGUAUUCCACCUGGGGAGUACGCCGGCAACGGUGAAACUCAAAGGAAUUGACGGGGGCCCGCACAAG